rnacentral:rRNA from 1 species
CCCUUAGAUGUUCUGGGCCGCACGCGCGCUGCACUGAUGCAUUCAACGAGUCUAAAACCUGGUCUGAUAGGGCUGGGUAAUCUUUUGAAAGUGCAUCGUGAUUGGGAUAGAUGAUUGCAAUUCUUCAUCUUCAACGAGGAAUGCCUAGUAAACGCAAGUCAUCAGCUUGCAUUGAUUACGUCCCUGCCCUUUGUACACACCGCCCGUCGCUCCUACCGAUUGAAUGAUCCGAUGAAUACCAUGGAUUGAGAGUACGAAUAGGUUCGCUUAUUUCUGCUGCUCGAGAAGUGGAGUAAAUCUUAUCAUUUAGAGGAAGGAGAAGUCGUAACA